rnacentral:tRNA from 1 species
GUGAGCUUGGCCGAGCGGUCUAAGGCGCUAGACUCAAGAGAAUUACCUCUUUCACUGUUUCAGUGAAGCAUUCUAGUCUCGAAAGAGGCGUGGGUUCAAAUCCCACAGCUCACA